AUAGCUAAUUUGAAAGAGAAGGGUUGCUCGAUCAGUUUCGUUAACUCUUUGGAUUCGGUUGGUAUAGUGCGGUAAAGUUCGUAUGGUAUCUACGGCGAUUUUGAGGAAAAUUUUAGCAACAGAAGAUGUGUGGUGUAUUUAAAUGCUGUUGUAGUUGUGCAGCGAACGUUGCAUGCUGCUGCUGUCAAUGUGCCUUUCAAACUCUUUGCUGCAUUAUCGUAAUAGCGCUAAUAAUUGCACUAGCAAUCGCUCUAGGAGUCUAUUUCGGCAUCUUCCACAAUAGGGAAGACGGUGAGACAACGGCAAAAUCUGUUAGUCGCUUGCUAACGACAGUACUUCCGAAAACAGAUAAUAACUUCUUAGGAAACUAAUAACUAUGCAAUUAGUUAGAUUUCCUGAAUGAGAUCCGAUUUCACGAUUUUCUUCAAAUUGGCUGGAAUGGUAACAUGCGGACUAUUGAUAACCGUUGUUCUUAAGUGUGUCAAACAUGCAAUAAAUGGCUUUCAAUCUUA